rnacentral:rRNA from 1 species
GUGUCAGCCGCCGCGGUAAUACGAGGGGUGCGAGCGUUGUCCGGAAUCACUGGGCGUAAAGGGUCCGUAGGCGUUUCAACAAGUCAUUUGUUAAAGACAUCGGCUUAACCGAUGAAGUGCAUUUGAAACUUUUGAAAUAGAGUAUAGGAGAGGGAAGUGGAAUUCCUGGUGUAGCGGUGACAUGCGUAGAUAUCAGGAGGAACACCAAUGGCGAAGGCAACUUUCUGGCCUAUUACUGACGCUGAGGGACGAAAGCGUGGGGAGCGAACAGGAUUAGAUACCCUGGUAGUCCACGCCGUAAACGAUGAGUACUUGGUGUCGGGGGAUUCGACCCCUUCGGUACCGGAGCUAACGCAUUAAGUACUCCGCCUGGGAACUACGACCGCAAGGUUGAA